rnacentral:tRNA from 1 species
GGGGAUAUAAUUUAAUUGGUUAGAAUUACGGACUCCAAAUCCGUUAGUGGGGGUUCAAGUCCUCCUAUCCCUG